CUUGUUAGAGGAAGUAAAAGUCGUAACAAGGUAUCCGUAGGUGAACCUGCGGAUGGAUCAUUAUCACGUUAUCCACGUAUCAACCAUUGUGAACUGUUGAUGUAUAUAUAUUGUUGUUUGUUGGGGGUUUCCCUAACUUUCAUUAAUAUGUAUAUAUUUUUAUUAUUAACUAUUUAAACAAUUUUUAAAUAAUUAAUUCUUUGAACUGAAACAUUUCUUACUCUUCGGAGAAGAAAUAAAAAAUUACGAAACAUAAGAACAACUCUUAGCAACGGAUAUCUUGGUUCUC
rnacentral:misc_RNA from 1 species